ACUCAAAUGAAUUGACGGGGGCCCGCACAAGCGGCGGAGCAUGUGGCUUAAUUCGAUGCAACGCGAAGAACCUUACCAGGGCUUGACAUGCAGAGAAAUCUCGUAGAGAUACGGGGUCCGCAAGGGUUCUGCACAGGUGGUGCAUGGCUGUCGUCAGCUCGUGUCGUGAGAUGUUGGGUUAAGUCCCGCAACGAGCGCAACCCUCGUCCUAUGUUGCCAGCGGUUCGGCCGGGGACUCAUAGGAGACUGCCGGGGUCAACUCGGAGGAAGGUGGGGAUGACGUCAAGUCAUCAUGCCCCUUACGUCCUGGGCUGCACACAUGCUACAAUGGCCGGUACAAUGGGCUGCGAUACCGUGAGGUGGAGCGAAUCCCAAAAAGCCGGUCUCAGUUCGGAUCGGGGUCUGCAACUCGACCCCGUGAAGCCGGAGUCGCUAGUAAUCGCAGAUCAGCAAUGCUGCGGUGAAUACGUUCCCGGGCCUUGUACACACCGCCCGU
rnacentral:rRNA from 1 species